GAGCGGGUCGCCGCGUGCCGG
rnacentral:sRNA from 1 species